AUUGAACGCUGGCGGCAUGCCUUACACAUGCAAGUCGAACGGUAACAGGUUAAGCUGACGAGUGGCGAACGGGUGAGUAAUGUAUCGGAACGUGCCCAGUCGUGGGGGAUAACUGCUCGAAAGAGCAGCUAGUACCGCAUACGACCUGAGGGUGAAAGCGGGGGAUCGCAAGACCUCGCGCGAUUGGAGCGGCCGAUAUCAGAUUAGGUAGUUGGUGAGGUAAAGGCUCACCAAGCCGACGAUCUGUAGCUGGUCUGAGAGGACGACCAGCCACACUGGGACUGAGACACGGCCCAGACUCCUACGGGAGGCAGCAGUGGGGAAUUUUGGACAAUGGGCGCAAGCCUGAUCCAGCCAUGCCGCGUGCGGGAAGAAGGCCUUCGGGUUGUAAACCGCUUUUGUCAGGGAAGAAAAGGUUCUGGCUAAUACCUGGGACUCAUGACGGUACCUGAAGAAUAAGCACCGGCUAACUACGUG
rnacentral:rRNA from 1 species